rnacentral:lncRNA from 12 species
CCAGGAGCCUCAGGUGUUUGCAGCAGGACGUUCAGGUUGGACAACUAAUUUGUUUGCUUCCUCCAAGUGCAGGUGUGGGCAGGGAUCUCAUGCAUGUAAUUCUCCUCGUGACAUUACCGUGCCUCUGGACUUCCAAGCUUAUCAGAUAUCAGAGAAGAGGAUGUUCCGGUGGUAAAAAGAGAAAGCUUCAGGCAGAAACGUACGACCACUUUGGUUUUGGUUGCUGA